rnacentral:rRNA from 1 species
ACAAGAAUGAGGGGGCCCGCACAAGCGGAGGAACAUGUGGUUUAAUUCGAUGAUACGCGAGGCCCCUUACCUGGGAUUGAAAUGUAUAGGACAGGGGAUGGAAACAUUCUUUUUCUCUUCGGAGACUUAUAUGUAGGUGCUGCAUGGUUGUCGUCAGCUUCGUGCCGUGAGGUGUCGGCUUAAGUGCCAUAACGAGCGCAACCCUUAUCGUUAGUUACUAGCAGGUAGUGCUGAGGACUCUAGCGAGACUGCCGUCGUAAGGCGAGAGGAAGGUGGGGAUGACGUCAAAUCAGCACGGCCCUUAUAUCCAGGGCGACACACGUGUUAUCAAUGGUGAGGACAAAGGGUAGCUACCUGGUGACAUGAUGCCAAUCUCCAUACCUCAUCUU